ACGAGCUGUGCAAACGUUAUUCGGAAUUACUGGGCUUAAAGAGUUCGUAGGCGGCGCGUUAGGUGGGGUGUGAAAUCCCUCGGCUCAACCGAGGAAUUGCGCUCCAAACCGGCGUGCUUGAGGAAGGUAGAGGUGAGCGGAACUGAUGGUGGAGCGGUGAAAUGCGUUGAUAUCAUCAGGAACACCGGAGGCGAAGGCGGCUCACUGGGCCUUUUCUGACGCUGAGGAACGAAAGCCAGGGUAGCGAACGGGA
rnacentral:rRNA from 1 species